UGCUUUUUAUGUUCACUUUCCUCAUGUAAAUAGAUAGAACAUAGAAACACUGAAUGUGAUAUUGGUAUUUUGUUCUUUGAGGGGAAAUUCGAGGCUUUGGCAUGGUAGCUCAAAUAAGUAUAGAAGAAGAAGAAAAAUUAGCAGCUUUUUUGUUUUAAAAUAGAAACACACACAUGUUUGUUUCUGUACUCCAGGGACCAAACUAAUUAUCAUCUUUGCAAUUACAGUUUUCUGCAAAAUUUACUCUGAACACAGUUUAAUGAAGAAUGAAAAACAGAGAUAUCAGGAAAAUAUUACAUUACCCUGACAGCUGAAAAAUCCUUUCCUUAUAUAUAACAAAAAGCUGAUUAUCAUCUGCACUGACACACUGUACUGGGAUCAUGUACUAUUGUAAGAGGAUCUCUGUGACUGAAAUGUAAGUUGAACAAAGACAUCUUCCUGUUAAAAACCUCCCACAUGCUUUACUCUGCUAGCCGGCACUAACUAUUUCUGCACAUGGCUGAGAUCCCCAGGCAAAUCUGUGAUGAUCUUUACAAUGUUAACCUUGAGCCAUGUUUUCUUGCUAAAAUCAUCUUCACUAGAUAGGUCUGCACAAAUAAGCUACGGAAACACAAAACAUGCGGAUAGUCCAUUCAAGGUACAAAUG